GACGAACGCUGGCGGCGUGCUUAACACAUGCAAGUCGAACGGUGAACGAGGGAGCUUGCUCCCUCCGGAUCAGUGGCGAACGUGUGAGUAACACGUGAUCAAUCUGCCCCGAACUCUGGGAUAAGCGUUGGAAACGACGUCUAAUACCGGAUACGACGCGGGAGGGCAUCCUCUCCGCGUGGAAAGAACUUCGGUUCGGGAUGAGCUCGCGGCCUAUCAGCUUGUUGGUGAGGUAACGGCUCACCAAGGCGACGACGGGUAGCCGGCCUGAGAGGGUGACCGGCCACACUGGGACUGAGACACGGCCCAGACUCCUACGGGAGGCAGCAGUGGGGAAUAUUGCACAAUGGGCGGAAGCCUGAUGCAGCAACGCCGCGUGAGGGACGACGGCCUUCGGGUUGUAAACCUCUUUUAGCAGGGAAGAAGCGAAAGUGACGGUACCUGCAGAAAAAGCACCGGCUAACUACGUG
rnacentral:rRNA from 1 species